GAGGCAUCAGUCUUAAGCUAGGUGAUUAUAAUGUUUAUAGAAUCAGUGAUUACAGAACAUAAGUAAUUGAGACUAAUGAAGGCAUGAAGUAAUUCUAAAUAAACAAACGUGUUCUUGUCGUCUGUGGGAGAUGUCAGGCAUUCCUUGUGUGCAUGCUACAGCUUUUAUUUGUAGAUGAGAUGUGCAAAUUUGGAAAAUUAUGUCUCAGAGUACUUCACCGUUGCCAAGUAUAAGACUGCCUAUGCAUUAGAAAUUGGACCAUUACCUGACAAGGCCCAAUGGAUAAAAGUUGAUAUUGGAUACAAGAUAUUGCCUCCUAAGCUCAGUCUAAGAUCUCCAGAAAGGUCUAAAAAGAAGAGAAUUAGGGGUACAGAUGAGAAUACAUCGAAGAAGAUGCACAAAUGUAAGCGUUGCGGUGAGCUCGGGCAUCAUGCAAAGACCUGCAAAAAUCCAGUAAUGGAGGAAUCUCAAGCUUCAAUAUCCUCUUCUUCUGUACCGAAGAAGCUUGGGAGGUAACAUAUAGCACUACUCUAACUUAAUGAUGUUUAUCCUUUAUCACUUGCUUAUCAUUGAAAUAUUGCAGGCCUAAGGGAAUUGGUUCAAGAGGAAGAGUGUCAAUUACAGGAGACACACAUGCAGUGCAUAUAGCACCAACAGAAAAAAGAAACAAAGGACAACCCCGCAAGCAAGAUAAGAGAAUGGAAACUUUAGUUGGAGAAGAUAAUACCUACCCACAAUCUUGAUUGAUUUGAUCACAUGUUUUGCUGGAGUAGUGGAGAUUAUGUUGGAGAUUAAUAUCUCCACAAACUAUCUUAUUAAAUAUAUUUUUUCAGCCAACAUCUCUUUAACAAAAGAAUGUAAUUUAUCAAGAUUCCCAUGUUACACAUAAUCCUUUCAUUCCUUAUCUCUGGUUUCUCACAAAUAGUGCAACAUUCUUUUGUUAAUGAUGUUU